CUUUGUGUUAGGCAAAGUUAUUGACUAAGAUCCUUAUGCAGAUGUGUGAGUCCGCGAAAGUCAGUAUCUAACAAGCAUCUCCUGUCCCCUGCCCCGUCUCAUGAACAUGCAAAGAUUUUAUUUGGUUGGACAGUGAAACUCCUAUUUGUGCAUGAUGUAUAUAAUCAUUCUAUUUGUUUGUCUCAUGAUCUGUCUUUUGUUUAAGUAGAUCUAUCUUAUUUAUCUUAAAUCCCUGAGAGUCCACUUCUCUAUGCUACGAUGUGAUGCAAGAGAAAUGAAAAAUAAAUACUUAGAGAAAGCAUUGGCAGAAGUGAGAAGCUGAAAGAUUCUAACACAUACUUGGAGAGCAAGUGUUUUCUCCUUCCGAAGAUAAAUUUAGGUCUGACGUAAAAGGGAAGGAACAUGGUGGAAUAGGAGAGAUGCAGAAUUAAAGAAAGAAGCAGAGCAGCAAGAGUCAUUGAAAUGGAAAAAACAGAAGUUUAGAAGGUCAUCGAUUCUGGAUCCUCAUCUAUUCACAGCCUUUGUGCCACCUAGUAUUCAGAAGUUCAAGCCACUUAUUUCAUCCGAAGAUGCGCUGGUGGUCUUAGACAUUCUGUAUAAAGAUAAAAUGUGGAAGAAAUAUUUUCCCAGUCCAUUUCCAAGUAGGAAUUGAAUAGAAUCAGGUUGGAAUUUCUCUAUAAGAUAUGUCAGUUUUGGGCACUCUGACAUUUAAUACAUUCUGUUUGAAUUGCUGCUCUUCUCACACAUAUGUGGCCUUACCAGUUACUUUCUUCCAUUGACCAAAAUGUUUAUAUGUAUUUCUUAAAAUAUAGUUUAUGUUUUUAGAUAGACUGCCACAAUUUAGUCAUCCAGAUGGUCUCCCCAAGUCCAAAUAGUUAAAGGGACAAUUAGUCUCUAAAUAAAAAAAAAA
rnacentral:lncRNA from 10 species